ensembl:miRNA Mir5136 microRNA 5136
GGGCCUUUUCAAGGGUGGUUUUCAAGUAAGUCUUGAUUUUGUCUUUAUAUGCGAGGGAACUACUGGGAACUGGGCC